rnacentral:rRNA from 1 species
UACGUAGGGCGCAAGCGUUGUCCGGAAUUAUUGGGCGUAAAGAGCUCGUAGGCGGUGUGUCACGUCGGCCGUGAAAACCUGCAGCUUAACUGUGGGCGUGCGGUCGAUACGGGCAUCACUAGAGUUCGGCAGGGGAGACUGGAAUUCCUGGUGUAGCGGUGAAAUGCGCAGAUAUCAGGAGGAACACCGGUGGCGAAGGCAGCUCGCUGGGACGUUACUGACGCUGAGACGCGAAAGCGUGGGGAGCAAACAGG